rnacentral:tRNA from 1 species
AAAGGGCUUAGCUUAAUUAAAGCAAUUGAGUUGCAUUCAGUUGAUGCAGGAUAGAGUCUUGUAGUCCUUA